rnacentral:rRNA from 1 species
GACGAACGCUGGCGGCGUGCUUAACACAUGCAAGUCGAACGGAAAGGCCCUGCUUUUGUGGGGUGCUCGAGUGGCGAACGGGUGAGUAACACGUGAGUAACCUGUCCUUGACUUUGGGAUAACUUCAGGAAACUGGGGCUAAUACCGGAUAGGAGCUCCUGCUGCAUGGUGGGGGUUGGAAAGUUUCGGCGGUUGGGGGUGGACUCGCGGCUUAUCAGCUUGUUGGUGGGGUAGUGGCUUACCAAGGCUUUGACGGGUAGCCGGCCUGAGAGGGUGACCGGCCACAUUGGGACUGAGAUACGGCCCAGACUCCUACGGGAGGCAGCAGUGGGGAAUAUUGCACAAUGGGCGGAAGCCUGAUGCAGCAACGCCGCGUGCGGGAUGACGGCCUUCGGGUUGUAAACCGCUUUCGCCUGUGACGAAGCGUGAGUGACGGUAAUGGGUAAAGAAGCACCGGCUAACUACGUG